UGCCCAGCAACUCCUAUCGCUACCUCCUCGCGGUACUGGCCGGGGUACGAGUAACCUUGGGGAAGAUCGGGUAACCAACCCCCGGUGCGAACUUUGGUCGUAUGCUGACAGGGACGG
rfam:Aedes aegypti strain Liverpool supercont1.935 genomic scaffold, whole genome shotgun sequence.